CUUUCAAACAUAUAACAAUAAACAAAAUAAAAUACAGCUACGCUCUGAUUAUAAUGGUAACACUACAUUAUUAUUAUAAAUACGCAUUUAAAUGAAAUGAAACUUGACACAUUAUUCCGUUUUUCAAUCUGGCUGAUCCCUAUAAUGGCAUGACGAUGCAUUUUCCAUGUUUCCUAUAAGAGCUAUGGUGUGAGGGUCUGGAUGGGGUGGUCUGUUAUUCUGUAAACAUUUAAUUUUCACCCCUUUUUUCUCUAAUCUUCAAAAAAUAAGUCUAUUCUUUAAAAGUGAUUUUUU
rnacentral:lncRNA from 1 species